GUCUCCCCUACAUCUCCCCACGGUGUCACUCUGGGAACCAUGCCUCCAGGUCUCCCCUACAUCUCCCCACAGUGUCACUCUGGGAACCAUGCCUCCAGGUCUCCCCUACAUCUCCCCACAGUGUCACUCUGAGAACCAUGCCUCCAGGUCUCCCCUACAUCUCCCCACGGUGUCACUCUGGGAACCAUGCCUCCAGGUCUCCCCUACAUCUCCCCACGGUGUCACUCGGGGAACCAUGCCUCCAGGUCUCCCCUACAUCUCCCCACAGUGUCACUCUGGGAACCAUGCCUCCAGGUCUCCCCUACAUCUCCCCACAGUGUCACUCUGGGAACCAUGCCUCCAGGUCUCCCCUACAUCUCCCCACAGUGUCACUCUGGGAACCAUGCCUCCAGGUCUCCCCUACAUCUCCCCACAGUGUCACUCGGGGAACCAUGCCUCCAGGUCUCCCCUACAUCUCCCCACAGUGUCACUCGGGGAACCACGCCUCCAGGUCUCCCCUACAUCUCCCCACAGUGUCACUCGGGGAACCAUGCCUCCAACACAUAAAAGCUCAGGGAAUAAACCACAUCCAAACCCCAGCACCCCAGAGUUGGGAUAACAACCAUUGCAGUGUUAAACUACGUGAGCUCAAGAAGCAGCAGAAACAAACGUCCCUGAACCUCCUCUGUCUGACUGAGCACAGCCUGCAGAGAACCCGCCGCCACCAACCCCCUCCCGAGGGAGCUGCGGGGACGUCAGCUCCCAUUAAGACUGUCCAGUGCCUGCCCAGCUUCCUUGGCAUCAAAAAGUCUGAAAGAACCUUCCAUGCCUUGUCACAGAAGCCCGAUAAAAACCAU